rnacentral:rRNA from 1 species
GACGAACGCUGGCGGCGUGCUUAACACAUGCAAGUCGAACGAAGUGGCGAACGGGUGAGUAACGCGUAAUCAACCUGCCCUUCAGAUGGGGUCACCAGUUGGAACCGACUGCUAUUACUGCAUCCUGAAGGAGGGGCUUGUGUCUGAUUAGCUAGUUGGAGGGGUAACGGCCCACCAAGGCGAUGAUCAGUAGCCGGGCUGAGAGGAUGAACGGCCACAUUGGGACUGAGACACGGCCCAGACUCCUACGGGAGGCAGCAGUGGGGAAUCUUCCGCAAUGGACGAAAGUCUGACGGAGCAACGCCGCGUGAGUGAUGACGGCCUUCGGGUUGUAAAGCUCUGUUAAUCGGGACGCGGUACCGGAAUAGAAAGCCACGGCUAACUACGUGCCAGCAGCCGCGGUAAUUC